CACACACACACACUUCCACUUUGCAUUGGCAGCAAGGUGUUUAUAACCCUGUGACUUUAACACUUCAUGACUAAGAGCUGCUGCUCAGCAACUUCCCCCACAGCAACCAUGACUCUGAUCAGCGUCUUCAUCUACACACUGGUCCUCUGGGCUCAAGGAUCCAGAGGUCAGGUGACUGUGACUCAGACUCCUUCAGUGCAAACUGUUGCUCCAUCAAACACAGUCACCAUCAAAUGCAGAUUCGACACUGCUGUUUGGCACGACUGUGGACCAACUGGUGUAUCAUAUGACUGUCUAGCCUGGUACCUACAGAAACCUGGAGAAGCUCCUAAACUUCUAGUGCGCUAUGUGAGUCACCUGUUCUCAGGGACUCCAGAUCGCUUCAAAGGCAGUGGAUCUAAGACUGACUUCACUCUGACCAUCAGUGGAGUCCAGGCUGAAGAUGCAGGAGAUUAUUACUGUCAGAGUCUACACAAGAUCAGUGGCAGCUACGUGUUCACACAGUGUUACAGCGCCGUACAAAAACCUCAUCACAGAGAAGCUGAGAGAGACAACAGGUGCUGAGGAGGAUGUGAUAAAGCACAAUGACACACACUAUGAACAGGAGAAAACACACUACACACACACACAAACACACACACACACACACACACACACACACACACACACACACACACACACACACACAGCUGUGGAUCUUUAUUUUAAGUAACAUAUUAUUGAUAUGUUACUACGCAUAACUACACAUCACUACAGAGUCAUUUUAUCUCUAUGGAGACUUUUUGCUCUCUGGAGAAAAUGAUUUUCACUGAUUUUAUGGUUAUUUAGUAGUUCUGCCUUUCUGAAGAGGUUCACAUAGAGGAACAAGCAAGACUGUGUGAGUUAAAGUUAAAGUACUGUUGCUAAUAACAUACACAUUCUUACACACACACACUCUUACACACACACUCUCACACACACACGCAAACAAACACACACACAAACACAUACAAAAAAAUGUUACAGAUCAGAUAUAUAGAAAGAAACAAUUCAGGAUAUACAUUAUAAAUAUAUAAAUGUUUCCCAAAUGAACCAGUCUGAGGUGACGGUGGUGAGAAAAAAAAUCCCUGAGAAGAUACACAGAAGAAACCUUGAGAGGAACCAGAGUUGAAGGAACCUCAUCGUUAUCAUUACAGGACUGGGGACUUUAUGGUCAGAAAGUGCAAUUUUGUAACCAGGAGAUUCAUUCAGUGUUAACAUGCAGUGUGUCAUGUGGAACUUAUCAAAUGUUCAUUGAAUAUAAACCUGACACCAUAACCAAGAAAAUGAUAAAACUCAGGUCAAAACCAGAAACCAGCUAUAACUAGAACUUCAGCAAUUAUGGAUACAUGAACAGGGACUAGGGACAAUGUGUGAACUAGAACAAAUAAGGGGUGGGAUCUAGAAAUCAGGGACUAACUGGAACUAGGAUUGAGAAAUGAACAGGAAGUAAGGAGAAGGUAUUCAGUAUGUACAAGAUAAAAGGAUAAGAAAUGAUUAUGAUUUAGACAUGAAGUAUAAAAUCGCACAGCUACAGCACACAGUGACAUUCUGUACAAUCGUCUGCUUCCAGUUUGGGGAAGAAACAUGUGGAUGUGACGGUCAGGUGUCCACAUACAUUUGAGGUAUAUUUGCUUCAAUUUACUCUAAAUCUGAUCAGUUGUUGGCUGGAUGAAAGAAAAGAUUCUGCUGGUUAUUAAAGUAUCGAUUGUCUACUACGAUGUGAACCGUUUGCGAAGGUGCAUCGAGACCAUCCAAAAAAAUUACAUGCUGUUCUUUAAGUCUCCUGUUUGUAGCCUGUAAUCCAGAUGAAUAUAUGGUUCAGUAACAUGACACAUAAACCUGCAUGUCACUGGGUUUAAUGUAUAUGUGCUAAUGACUUUCACUGUGAAGAGAUGUGACAUUCAUCCUACAGCACUCACAGAGCCAUGUUACGUUCUGAAACCAGAUAAAAACGGUACAUAGAGACUCUGACUAUGACUUCAGACAGAGCGAGCAGUGAGGCGUAAGUGAGAUUUGCAUGAACAGGGUGUAAAAGUUCCAGUUCUCUCAGAACAGAACAGAAAUUUCACCAGAUGUUCAACUACACAGCCUUUAGUCAAACCCACUGAAGCACAACACAGAGCACAGAAUCUAAAGCUAAUCCCUUUCUCUCAUCACUCUGUCAAUCACUAUUACUGUCACUAUUAAUAACAGAAGAGACGAUGUCACAAACUCAGCUUUAUUUCAGCAAAAACUACAAGAAUAUGAACAGAACAGUGAACAGAGUAAAGACAGAAAUAUUCUCAUUGUGUAGAAUUUAAACUCUAUUGCAGGUGGAUGAUAAGCAGCUCCAUCUUAAACUCCAUCCUGGACCCAUUAGACAUCACAGUGACUCUUUCUGAAGGUGAC